rnacentral:rRNA from 1 species
UACGGGGGGGGCAAGCGUUGUUCGGAAUUACUGGGCGUAAAGGGCGCGUAGGCGGCCUGCUAAGUCACACGUGAAAUCCCUCGGCUCAACCGGGGAACUGCGUGUGAUACUGGCGGGCUUGAAUUCGGGAGAGGGAUGUGGAAUUCCAGGUGUAGCGGUGAAAUGCGUAGAUAUCAGGAAGAACACCCGUGGCGAAAGCGGCUCUCUGGAACGGUACUGACGCUGAGACGCGAAAGCGUGGGGAGCGAACAGG